rnacentral:rRNA from 1 species
GACGAACGCUGGCGGCGUGCUUAACACAUGCAAGUCGAGCGGUAAGGCCCUUUCGGGGGUACGACGAGCGGCGAACGGGUGAGUAACACGUGGGUGACCUGCCCUCAGCUCUGGGAGUAAGCCUGGGAAACGUAGGGUCGUAAUACCGGAUAUGACUCCAUGACGCAUGUUGUGGGGUGGAAAGCCUUGUGCGGCUGAGGAUGGGCCCGCGGCCUAUCAGCUUGUUGGUGGGGUGAGGCCUACCAAGGCGACGACGGGUAGCCGGCCUGAGAGGGCGACCGGCCACACUGGGACUGAGACACGGCCCAGACUCCUACGGGAGGCAGCAGGUGGGGAAUCUUGCGCAAUGGGCGAAAGCCUGACGCAGCGACGCCGCGUGAGGGAUGACGGCCU